CAUUGCACAAUACGCUGUUGUUUUAGUCAAUGUUUUGGGCGGUUUGUCACUUUUAGUGCCUUCCAGUCCCAUUUGUCUCGAAGCCAUGUGUCACAGGAUAAAGCCGUCCCCAGUUUUCAGUGUCCAGUAUUGAAUUGCUCCUUGUCUAAAGUAGGGCAAACUCUGAAAGUUCAUUUGGAGACUCACAUAGAUGCAGGGCAUGAGUUUAUCUGCCCUUAUGGUGAUUCAUGUAAGACUCUUCACAAGAACAAAAACUCAUUCAGAGUUCAUCUCUCUCGGAAACAUUCGUCACAGCAGUCAACAUGCAGCUCGUAUUCAACCACCCAAAACCUACCAUCAACCAGCCGUACCAGUGUGUCAGAAGUUUCUUCAGCUACCAUUGUGCCUCAAGAUUUGUCUGUUGCAGUGUCUAACCCUUUGGCACCAAAUAUCAUAAAGAAAAAUGUUUUAACAUUUUAUUUGGAACUCGAAGGACAAAAAGUGUUGCCUUCAGUCACAGUUCAAUUUAUCAGUGAAAAAAUUGCUUCAUUUACAGUGAUGUCACAUCAUUGCAUGAGGCAAACCCUUGAAAAAGAAUUGGUUUCUGCUGGGUUGGAGAAGAGAAAGAUUGCAAUAAUUUUGGACAAUACAUUCAGUGCUGAUCCCGUUCAUGGUAUCCACCACUUUGGUCAUGAUCAAGAACAAGUCUCUAGCGUUCACCUCCGAAGAGAAGAAAUGAAGAGGAUAGCUCCUUACAUACCAUCGGUUGAAAUUCCACUUCCAACUCCAAACAUGGAAAAGAUGGCAAGAGUUGCUCAGUAUGUUCCACUGAAAGAAACUUUGGAGGUGCUGCUGGCAGAUAACAAUGUUAAGAGAGAGGUUUUAAAAUCAUUUUCAAGGCAAUCCAUUCCUGAUGUUUAUGAGGAUUUCUGUGAUGGCUCCAGGUAAUGCUGUGUUUCAAGGCUGCCUCCGCCUGGAUGCUGAAGAAUGGGGACGUCACACUGGCUGAAUUCGUGGUUGGUUUCACAAACCGGAAGUUCAUGCUGUGCUGUUUCUGCUGAAGUAUGCUGUUGAGCCGGCGCUACGUUUGAAGUGUCCGUAUUUCUUGGGUGAUGAUUCGUUCGAGGAAACUUCUUGAUACGCAGUUCGAUGUGGAGCCAGGUUUUCGGUUUGGGUUUCUUGCACUGCGGCGUCGACGGAGUUCGUCGCCUUCGGAAGACUAGGAGUACUGGAAGGAGAUCUACAUAAAUUUUAUGAGCAUGAGCGAGCAAGCAAUCCAUUCUGUGAAGGCCUGAGACUAGGACGUCUGCCAAACUCCUUUCGGUGCUUCCUGUCUGUGUGCCGCUCUAUUUAUCUGCCUGCCUUGACUUUUCACCAAAAGUUGUUAUGAGGUCGACGUUGUUUGCCAGAAUGUUCAACAGACUUUUACCCUGGACAAAGAUUUUAUCAUGGGUCAACCUAUAGAAAGACAAGCCGCCGUGGAUAUUGG